AUUGGCUGACAGGAGCAAGGCGUCAUUUGCAUGUAGUUGAGCAGAUUUUGCUGAUGUUUCAGUGUUUUGCAUAGGUGUAGACUUUAACGUGUGUGUGUGUGUGUGUGUGUGUGUGUGUGUGUGUGUUGCUCUGCAGAAGCGAGCCAAGGGUCAGUUCCUGUUGCAAAAAAGUGUGGUGAGCACCUGAACCUCCCUGGAGAAAGGAUUACUUCGGGCCUGAGCUCAAAGACAACGCGGACCAGAGGUGCUGGCUCGAUCCUACGAAGGAGAUCAAACGUCAGAUCCGCAGUAAGUAACUUUAUUUGGUUUAUUUCUCACACACACACUUCAGACGUGCCGUAUCUCGUUAUCGUAACCAGAUUUAUUCAUCAGGAUGUUGGCGUGGGACUUCCUGUGUGCAGAUUUAGAUUUUAGCAGCUUGCACUGCGUGUAAAGCAUGUUAUUUAUGAUUUUGUUGAGUAUUCGAUGUAUUUUUUCGGGAGGUGGACGGUUAGUUACGGAGCUGCGGUGGUUCAGAACACCUUCACCGUGUUCAUAUAAAUAUAAAGAAAAUAAUGAAACAAAUGCAAGUCACAUUUAAAAAGAGACGUCACGGUCCAGCCUGGUGGAGGUGUGGUGGUGUGGGGAAUGUUUUCUCAGCGCACUUUGUUGUUGACCAUGUACUUCCCAUCAUGACCGCAAUCUACCAUCUUCUAAUGGCUACUUCCAGCAUGAUAAUGCACCAUGAACAUGACAAUGAGUUCCUCAGAGUUCCUCAGAGUUCCUCAGAGUUCCUCAGAGUUCCUCAGAGUUCCUCAGAGUUCCUCAGAGUUCCUCAGAGUUCCUCAGAGUUCCUCAGAGUUCCUCAGUCACAGGACCAGACUCUCAAAGGAAUGUUUCCAACAUCGUCAGGAAUCCAGGAGAUGAAGAAUUGAGGCUGUUUUGAGAGCAAAGGGGGAGGCUCUGGGCAACAUUAGUGUAGUGAUCCUGAUAAAGUGCUCUGUGACUGUAUAAUAAAAUAUAUUAGCAUGUAGUAGUAGUGAUUAUUAUUAUUAUUAUUAUUAUUAUUAUCAUUUGUAGAAUAUUAGUUUAGUUAUUUCCUGUAAGGAGAAA
ensembl:lncRNA